AUUGAACGCUGGCGGCAGGCCUAACACAUGCAAGUCGAGCGGAUGAAGGGAGCUUGCUCCUGGAUUCAGCGGCGGACGGGUGAGUAAUGCCUAGGAAUCUGCCUGGUAGUGGGGGAUAACGUCCGGAAACGGGCGCUAAUACCGCAUACGUCCUGAGGGAGAAAGUGGGGGAUCUUCGGACAUCACGCUAUCAGAUGAGCCUAGGUCGGAUUAGCUAGUUGGUGGGGUAAAGGCCUACCAAGGCGACGAUCCGUAACUGGUCUGAGAGGCUGAUCAGUCACACUGGAACUGAGACACGGUCCAGACUCCUACGGGAGGCAGCAGUGGGGAAUAUUGGACAAUGGGCGAAAGCCUGAUCCAGCCAUGCCGCGUGUGUGAAGAAGGUCUUCGGAUUGUAAAGCACUUUAAGUUGGGAGGAAGGGCAGUAAGUUAAUACCUUGCUGUUUUGACGUUACCAACAGAAUAAGCACCGGCUAACUUCGUG
rnacentral:rRNA from 1 species